AGGACCUGAAUGCCCAGGAGUGCUGAACUGGGGGGUAAGAGAGAACUUUUCAGAGGAGAACCAGGCCGCAAGUCCUAUACUUCUGGCUAGACACAAAUUUGACAGCUGAAAGUCCCUCUCCAUCUGUCAAGUGAUAUGCUUGAAUGCACUUUACCUUGGGGAGUGGCCUUCAGAAGAAUCCAUUUCAAAUGUUCACUGGACUAUAGAAGAGAGGAGCAAAGAACCCCCCAGAGAUCUUUCACCUAAGGACACAAAGUGGAGAUCAGCCAUCUUGCUGGAGAGAUCUAUCAGUUCUGGGUGAAAGCUGCUCAGAAGACAGAUCAUAGUAACCAAAGCAUACAUCAACCUUCCUCUUCCCCAAACCAGGCUCAUUCACACCACGACUCCAAAGGAAGAAGAUUAUGAACAAACAGGAAAACGAAGGUGAAG